rnacentral:rRNA from 1 species
AUCAUGGCUCAGAAAGUCGUAGCAAGGUGCUCCGUUAGACUUUAGCGGCGGACGGGUGAGUAACACGUGGGUAACCUACCUAUAAGACUGGAAUAACUCCGGGAAACCGGGGCUAAUGCCGGAUAACAUUUAGAACCGCAUGGUUCUAAAGUGAAAGAUGGUUUUGCUAUCACUUAUAGAUGGACCCGCGCCGUAUUAGCUAGUUGGUAAGGUAAUGGCUUACCAAGGCAACGAUACGUAGCCGACCUAAGAGGGUGAUCGGCCACACUGGAACUGAGACACGGUCCAGACUCCUACGGGAGGCAGCAGUAGGGAAUUUUCCCCAAUGGGCGAAAGCCUGACGGAGCAACGCCGCGUGAGUGAUGAAGGGUUUCGGCUCGUAAAACUCUGUUAUUAGGGAAGAACAAACGUGUAAGUAACUGUGCACGUCUUGACGGUACCUAAUCAGAAAGCCACGGCUAACUACGUGCCAGCAGCCGCGGUAAUACGUAGGUGGCAAGCGUUAUCCGGAAUUAUUGGGCGUAAAGCGCGCGUAGGCGGUUUCUUAAGUCUGAUGUGAAAGCCCACGGCUCAACCGUGGAGGGUCAUUGGAAACUGGGAGACUUGAGUGCAGAAGAGGAAAGUGGAAUUCCAUGUGUAGCGGUGAAAUGCGCAGAGAUAUGGAGGAACACCAGUGGCGAAGGCGACUUUCUGGUCUGUAACUGACGCUGAUGUGCG